rnacentral:rRNA from 1 species
AGAGUUUGAUCAUGGCUCAGGAUGAACGCUGGCGGCGUGCUUAAUACAUGCAAGUCGAGCGGUAACACUUCGGGUGACGAGCGGCGGACGGCUGAGUAACACGUAGGAACGUACCCCAAACUGAGGGGUAAGCACCAGAAAUGGUGUCUAAUACCGCAUGUGGUCUUCGGAUUAAAGCUUCGGCGGUUUGGGAACGGCCUGCGCAUGAUUAGCUUGUUGGUAAGGUAAUGGCUUACCAAGGCGACGAUCAUUAGCUGGUCUGAGAGGAUGAUCAGCCAGACUGGGACUGAGAACGGCCCAGACUCCUACGGGAGGCAGCAGUAGGGAAUUUUCCACAAUGGACGGAAGUCUGAUGGAGCAACGCCGCGUGCAGGAUGAAGGCCUUCGGGUCGUAAACUGCUUUUAUCUGUGAAGAUUAUGACGGUAGCAGAUGAAUAAGGAUCGGCUAACUCCGUGCCAGCAGCCGCGGUCAUACGGAGGAUCCAAGCGUUAUCCGGAAUUACUGGGCGUAAAGAGUUGCGUAGGUGGCAUAGUAAGUUGAUAGUGAAAGCGUGCGGCUCAACCGCAUACACAUUAUCAAAACUGCUAAGCUAGAGGACGAGAGAGGUAAUUGGAAUUCCUAGUGUAGGAGUGAAAUCCGUAGAUAUUAGGAGGAACGCCGAUGGCGUAGGCAGAUUACUGGCUCGUUCCUGACACUAAGGCACGAAAGCGUGGGUAGCAAACGGGAUUAGAUACCCUAGUAGUCC